rnacentral:lncRNA from 1 species
CCUUUACUUGGAUACUUUUAUUAGACCUAAUGAAGCUAAUCUAACCUUUUGUUUCAGCCAAUCAGCAAACGUAUGAGAGUGCUCAGUUGGCAACCAUAAAGACUUUUUUAAUUGACGAGCCAAAUGCUCCCUAAAAUUAUACCAACAGAAUUAAUAAAAAAAAACUUAACAAAAAAGAGGUGUAAAUUUUCAGUCAUAUACUCUAUGUAUGGUUGAAUCUCGGGGGUGUUUACUAAAACACAUCGGUGCGCUUGC